rnacentral:lncRNA from 1 species
AGUCCUUCGCCGUCCCUCGCCGUCCUUCGCCAUCGCACGCCACCGCACCCCAUCUCUCGAAAUCUGCAGACAUCUUGAUUUUUCCCACGCUGUCUGUCAGGUCUCCGCCGCCACUCGACGCCAGGGCGCCGGGUGAGUCCACAGCAGGGCGCAUGGUCGGCUCCACUCUCACCAUCGGGGGAAACUGAGGCCCCGGGGAAGGCGGCCAGAGAGGUCAGGCCCUGUCCUUGGUGCAGUGUCUCGUCCUCUUUGCCGGAGUGAGCCCCCCAGGAUUCGCGUGUCCUCGGGAAAGACACUGGCAGGCCUUGUGGGCUGUGCUGCACCUCGGACGGCUUCGCACCAGCCAGCGCCCUCUCUCUCCUGCAGCACUCUGAUCUGCACCCCCUGAGGGGCUUCCACUGUCCGCGGGGUGAGAAUGCCCCUGGGAGUGUCACAUGACUGCCGCCCCAUGUGUGUGAGAGGCGUCCUCUGGGAGAGCAUGGAUCCUGAGGUCCCAGGAUUGUCAGCUGACCUCUGUCCUGUGUGCCCAGUGGCCCCAGGUGACGUGUCUUCAAGAAGAGGCUGAGCUGCGGUGCUUGUAAGGGUCUCAUUCUGUCACCCAGGCUGGAGUGCAGUGGUGCAAUGAUGGCUCACUGCAGCCUCGACCUGGGCUCAAGUGAUCCUCCACCUCAGCUUCCUGAGUAGCUGGGACCACAGAGUCAUGUGCUGUUCCUGGGGCUUGGAUGAUGUAGGGGAAGCAAGGUGAAAGUGGUAUCCCGUGGUUCCACGUUCUGUCCUGCUGUGGGGCUGUCCCUCACAUGCUUUCAGUGGCUGUUGCAGAGGAAGAGCCUCCGGAAAUCUGCGUCUCAGCCUUAGAUCCAAGGACAGUCCAAGGAAGUCCUAAGACCAUGGAGUUGGUGAUCUGGGAUCUGGGUUUGCUGAUAUUUCUCACCGUGAAUCUCUUGGUGGUGUUUGUGGGCACGAGAGGGGCAGAGAAUGGAGAGUGAGGCUACCACAUGAAGCGUCACCAGAGCUGCUCCCUGCUGCCUGCUCAGAGCACCCCGGAUCCACUGUUCAAUCUGCACAAGAUUCGGGGUCCAGACAUGGGAGACUUCAGCUGCCUCAGAGGACCGUGGACAGGGAAGGCCAGCCUCGCAUCCCUCUGUCCAUGCCUGGAAUGACUUUAAUAACCAAGAGUUUUAUUUUUGAAUUUGUAGCUGUCGUUCACUUUUUACCCACCCAUUCAAUAAACCUUACAGAAUUGCUCCA